GGGACGCGCCUUCGUGACGUCACAGGCGCGGGCUCUCGGCGACGCAAUAGCGCCAGGCCUUCCGCGACGUCAGAGUGAAGCUACAGUGCCUGGAGCUGGGCUGUUUUGUCUUCAGAGUGGUGCCUGGUAACCGCGACUUCCCCACCAUGUUCUGUGUGUUGCUGGCUGGAGAAGGGUGGUUGACAAACUCUGACCCAGCACGGUGUUUCUGUGGGUCAAAACUAGAAAACUAUAUCCGGGCGCCGAGGUGGAAGGAUCCCUUCAGGCCAGGAGUUAAAGAGCAGCCUAGGCAACGUGGCGCGACCCCAUCUCUGUAGUCCCACCUCAGCUUCCCAGAUACUUGAACCCCAAAGUUCAAGGCUGCAGUGAGCUAUGAUCCCAUCACAGCACUCCAGCCUGCGAGACUGAGAGACGGGGUUUCACCAUGUUGGCCAGGCUGGUCUGGAACUCCUGACCUGAAGUGAUCUGCCCACCUCGGCUUCCCAAAGUGCUGGGAUUACAGGCGUGAGCCACUGCGCCUGGCCCCUUCAGGUGGGUAUUGAGGCUUCACUACAAUACUAGUUCCCCGUUGCUGCUGCAAUAAAUUACCACACACUUAGUGGCUUAAAACAGCACAGAGGUAUUCCUUUACAUUUCUGAAGGCCAGAAUUCUAAAGUCAGUCCCACUGAGUCAACGUGGAAGCAGGGUCAGUGCCUUCCCAGGCUCUGCGGGAGAAUCUGUUUCCUGGCCCUGGAGGCGGCCUGUACUCCUCAGCUUGUGCUGCCCUUCUCGAAUGACUCGAGUUUCCUGCUUUCAUCACUACACCUCCCACCGCUCUCCAUCACCUGCUCUGCUCUUAUAAGGAUCCAGUUUUCAGAAAAAUGGAAUAGUCGUAUCACUGAUCUACGUAAACAAGUUGAAGAAUUGUCUGAAAGAAAAUACAGUGUGUCUAAACUGGAAAAGUCCUGUAAUAGUUUGUUCAUGAGCAUUUACACAAUGGAGUUACUGUUCAUCAUGGGGGUACUGUGGACAAGCUCAGGGCUGCUGGCUAAAGUGCAAUGGUGUGAUCUCGGCUCACUGCAACCUCUGCCUCCCAGGUUCAAGUGAUUCUGCCUCAGCCUCCUGAGUAGCUGGGAUUAAAGGCAUGUCCCACCAAGCCCAGACAUGAACUUAUGAAUUCAACACAUGAAGAUUUACAGCUUGACAAACCAGCUUCAGGAGGGAUUGUGCUGCAUUCGAACAUAGGUUCUGCCAUCAAACACAGAAUGCCCUGAUCCUUAGAGGCAGAGGCAGCUCUUCAGCCUAUGGGCUCAAGCUGUUGGACUCGCCGAGGCAGUAAAAGUACCAUAUCCUGUGUUUGAAUCAAACUCCAAUUUCCUGUAUAUAGAAGGCUUGCCAGACAGGAUUCCCUUCCGAAGCCCUACCUGGUUUGGAAUUCCAUGACUUGAAAGGAUCCUUCGUGGGAGUAAUAAAAUCAAGUUUGUUGUUAAAAAGUAAAUUCUAGGCGGGACGUGGUGGCUCACAUCUGUAAUCCCAGCAAUUUGGGAGGCUGAGGCAGGCAGAUCACCUGAGGUCAGGAGUUUGAGACCAGCCUGGCAAACAUGGUGAAACCCCAUAUCUGUUAAAAAUACAAAGAAUUAGCUGGGCGUGGUGGCAGGUACCUGGAAACCCAGCUAUUUGGGAGGCUGAAACAGGAGAAUCACUUGAACCUGGGAGGCAGAGGCUGCAGUGAGCUGAGAUCACACCACAGCACUCCAGCCUGGGUGACAGAGUGAGACUCUGCCUCAACAACAACAACAACAACAAUAAAAAACUUUGCAGUCCCCAAAAAAACCAUGAAGCCCUGAGAGUAAUGAAAAGCUUCCUGACAUUGAGGUCACUGUGGAAGAUGAGAGGAUCAGAGAUCUCUCCUCUACACGAGGUGCCAUCCUUUCCUGAAGGAGAUCCUUGUAAAGUGCAUGAGGUGUUCCUUUUGGUAAAAAGACACACUGCGCAACCACAGAGACCUGAGCCUGAACCUAUAAAGAUUUGAACAAGAUCAGCGGCAACAUCAGAUUCUCAUGUGAGCACGAACCGUGUAGUGAACUGUGCAUGCAAGGGAUCUACCUUGCUCUGUCCUUAGGAGAAUCUAAUGCCUGAUGAUCUGUCACUGUCUCCCAUCACCCCCACAUGGGACCAUCUAGUUGCAGAAAAACAAGCUAAGGCCUCCCACUCAUUCUACAUUAUGCCUUAGCCGAGAUGUCUCACCCCACUCUCUAUGAUGCAACAAGAAGCCCCUGGGGAACGUUUCAGUCCCAGUCUGUACUAUUGUCAUGUGCUCAUCACAGUCUGAACCACCUAAGCUAAAGAUUCUUUUGAGAACAAGGGCUAGCCUGUGGUUUCAUGGCCUUUCUUCCAUUUGGGGUUCUUGCCAAGUGGAAUUUAAAUGACCUGUUAUCAAGAUGGAUAAACCCAAGUUUCCCAGUGCUGGAAUAUAGAAAAUGGAUGGACAAGAUGUCUUUUUGUCACUUCCAGCUGGAUCUACCAUGAAAGACGUCAGAGUCCAGGAAGAGAGACUGACUGGGCAACAUGUUAUUCAGAGAGAAGAUCUUGAUCUGUGGCCCAGGCUGCAGUACAGUGACAUGAUCAUGGUUCACUACAGCUUCAAACUCCUGGGCUCAAGCCAUCCUCCCACGUCAGUCUCCCAAGUAGCUGAAACUACGGACAUGUGCCGCCAUGCCCAGCUAAUUUUUUAUUUAUUUAUUUAUUUAUUUUUUCAUAGUGAUGGGAUCUUGUUAGGUUGCUCAGACUGGUCUCAAACUCCUGACCUCAAGUGAUCCUCCUGCCUCAGCCUUCCAAAGUGCUGGGAUUACAGGCAGGCAUGACCACCUGUGCCUAGCCCCUUAUUAUUAUGUUUUUAAAUAAUAGCUUUAUUAAAAUAUGAUUCACACACCAUUCAAUUUAUUGAAAUCUGCAGUUCAGAAUAUUUUAGAAUAUUCACAGAGCUGUGCAUCGAUCACCGCAGUCACUUUUAGAACCAUUCAUUACUCUAUAGAGAAAUCUGCACCCUUAGCCAUUACAUCCACUCCCCCAACCUGCCUUUGCCCCCAGCCUCAGGCAACCAUGGAUUCAUUUUCUGUCACUACCUAAUCUGGACAAAUAGAAUUGUACAAUAGGUGAUCUUUUGUGGCAUUUUUCCCUCUUAGCACAGUGUUUUCAAAGUUCCUUUAUGUCAUAGGGUGUAUCAGUAUUUCAUUUUUUCUAUGGCUGAAUAAUAUUCCAUGGUAGAGACACACUGCAUUUUGUUGAUCCAUUUAUCAGUUGGUGGACAUUUGGGUUGUUUCCACGUAUUGGCUAUUAUGAAUAAUGCUGCUAUGAAGAUUGCAGUACAAGUUUUUGUGUGGACAUAUAUUUUUAUUUCUCUGGGAUAUAUGCCUAGGAGUGAAAUUGUUACAUUAUAUUUUACAUUUAACCUUUUGGGAAACUGCCAGACUGUUUUCUAAAGUGGCUACACCAGUUGGGUGCAAUGGCUCACACCUGUAAUCCCUGCUACUCAGGAGGCUCAUUUGAGAGGAUGGGUUGAGCACACAAGUUCAAGACCAGCCUGGGCAAGACAGUGAGACCCUGUCUUGAUUUUUCUUUAAAAAAUCCAAUUAAAAUGACAAGAAAAGAAAUACCCAAAGUGGUUACACCAUUUUAUAUUUCCACCAGUGAUGUAUGUGGGUUCCAGUUCCUCCACAUCUUCACUGACAUUAUUUUUUUUUUCUAGACAGGGGCUUGCUCUGUCUCUCAGGCUGCAGUACAGUGACGCCAUCACAGUUCACUGCAGCCUUGACCUCCCAGGCACAAAUGAUCUUCUCAUCUCAGCCUCCUGAGUAGCUGGGAAUUAUAGGUACACGCCAUCAUGCCUGGCUAAUUUUUAUUUUUUUUUGUAGUGAUGGGGUUUUACCAUGUUGCCCAGGCUGGUCUCUUACUCCUGGCCUCAAGUGAUCUGCCCACCUCACCCUCCCAAAGUUCUGGAAUUACAGGCUGAGCCAUCAUGCCUGGCCUUCACCAACAUUUGUUAUUGUCCAUUUUUUUUGGUUUAUACCUUAAAGCAGUAUAAGAACAAGUGUUUUCAAUUAUGGUAAACAAAAAAUAUAAUCCCGGGGCAUUUGGAUGCUGAGACAGGAAGAUCUCUUGAUGCCAGGAGGUUUUUGUUUUGUUUUGUUUUGUUUUGU